UGUCAGUCUCAACAAUAGUGGUGUCUGUGAUAUCUGGGUCUGGGUCUGGGUCUGGUUCUGGUCAAUCUGGGUCCAACUCAGUCUCUGGUUCUACCAGCUCUCUUGCUCCUCGGCCUGCUUUUGUUCCUUCUACAGUCCCAAACUCAGCAGAGAAUAGCACAGCAGCCCCUGCAGUCGUGACUACAGAGUGUAUACAGCCAGAGUACCAUAGCACAAAUUUUUAUGGGUAUGACUACCAGGUUGUAAGCUUUCCAAACAGCGAUUCCUGCAGGGCGGCUUGUAGUACUGAUCCGUACUGUCAUUUCUAUACAUAUGACCUUCA